rnacentral:rRNA from 1 species
AUUGAACGCUGGCGGCAGGCCUAACACAUGCAAGUCGGACGGUAGCACAGAGAGCUUGCUCUCGGGUGACGAGUGGCGGACGGGUGAGUAGUGUCUGGGGAUCUGCCCGAUAGAGGGGGAUAACCACUGGAAACGGUGGCUAAUACCGCAUAACGUCGCAAGACCAAAGAGGGGGACCUUCGGGCCUCUCACUAUCGGAUGAACCCAGAUGGGAUUUGCUAGUAGGCGGGGUAACGGCCCACCUAGGCGACGAUCCCUAGCUGGUCUGAGAGGAUGACCGGCCACACUGGAACUGAGACACGGUCCAGACUCCUACGGGAGGCAGCAGUGGGGAAUAUUGCACAAUGGGCGCAAGCCUGAUGCAGCCAUGCCGCGUGUAUGAAGAAGGCCUUCGGGUUGUAAAGUACUUUCAGCGGGGAGGAAGGCGAUGUGGUUAAUAACCGCAUUGAUUGACGUUACCCGCAGAAGAAGCACCGGCUAACUCCGUGCCAGCCGCCGCGGUAA